rnacentral:rRNA from 1 species
GGGUUGUGAGGUUAAGCGACUAAGCGUACACGGUGGAUGCCCUGGCAGUCAGAGGCGAUGAAGGACGUGCUAAUCUGCGAAAAGCGUCGGUAAGGUGAUAUGAACCGUUACAGCCGGCGAUGUCCGAAUGGGGAAACCCAGUGCAAUUCGUUGCACUAUCGUUAACUGAAUACAUAGGUUAACGAGGCGAACCGGGGGAACUGAAACAUCUAAGUACCCCGAGGAAAAGAAAUCAACCGAGAUUCCCCCAGUAGCGGCGAGCGAACGGGGAGCAGCCCAGAGUCUGAAUCAGCUUGUGUGUUAGUGGAACGGUCUGGAAAGUCCGACGGUACAGGGUGAUAGUCCCGUACACCAAAAUGCACAGGUUGUGAACUCGAAGAGUAGGGCGGGACACGUGGUAUCCUGUCUGAAUAUGGGGGGACCAUCCUCCAAGGCUAAAUACUCCUGACUGACCGAUAGUGAACCAGUACCGUGAGGGAAAGGCGAAAAGAACCCCGGCGAGGGGAGUGAAAAAGAACCUGAAACCGUGUACGUACAAGCAGUGGGAGCACCUUCGGGUGUGACUGCGUACCUUUUGUAUAAUGGGUCAGCGACUUAUAUUCUGUAGCAAGGUUAACCGUAUAGGGGAGCCGCAGGGAAACCGAGUCUUAACUGGGCGUUAAGUUGCAGGGUAUAGACCCGAAACCCGGUGAUCUAGCCAUGGGCAGGUUGAAGGUUGGGUAACACUAACUGGAGGACCGAACCGACUAAUGUUGAAAAAUUAGCGGAUGACUUGUGGCUGGGGGUGAAAGGCCAAUCAAACCGGGAGAUAGCUGGUUCUCCCCGAAAGCUAUUUAGGUAGCGCCUCGUGAACUCAUCUUCGGGGGUAGAGCACUGUUUCGGCUAGGGGGUCAUCCCGACUUACCAACCCGAUGCAAACUACGAAUACCGAAGAAUGUUAUCACGGGAGACACACGGCGGGUGCUAACGUCCGUCGUGAAGAGGGAAACAACCCAGACCGCCAGCUAAGGUCCCAAAGUCACAGUUAAGUGGGAAACGAUGUGGGAAGGCACAGACAGCCAGGAUGUUGGCUUAGAAGCAGCCAUCAUUUAAAGAAAGCGUAAUAGCUCACUGGUCGAGUCGGCCUGCGCGGAAGAUGUAACGGGGCUAAACUGUGCACCGAAGCUGCGGCAGCGACACUAUGUGUUGUUGGGUAGGGGAGCGUUCUGUAAGCCUGCGAAGGUGGCCUGUGAGGGUUGCUGGAGGUAUCAGAAGUGCGAAUGCUGACAUAAGUAACGAUAAUGCGGGUGAAAAGCCCGCACGCCGGAAGACCAAGGGUUCCUGUCCAACGUUAAUCGGGGCAGGGUGAGUCGACCCCUAAGGCGAGGCCGAAAGGCGUAGUCGAUGGGAAACAGGUUAAUAUUCCUGUACUUGGUGUUACUGCGAAGGGGGGACGGAGAAGGCUAUGUUAGCCGGGCGACGGUUGUCCCGGUUUAAGCAUGUAGGCGGAGGUUCCAGGUAAAUCCGGUACCUUUUAACGCUGAGGUGUGAUGACGAGGCACUACGGUGCUGAAGUAACAAAUGCCCUGCUUCCAGGAAAAGCCUCUAAGCAUCAGGUAACAUUGAAUCGUACCCCAAACCGACACAGGUGGUCAGGUAGAGAAUACCAAGGCGCUUGAGAGAACUCGGGUGAAGGAACUAGGCAAAAUGGUGCCGUAACUUCGGGAGAAGGCACGCUGAUAUGUAGGUGAAGCCCCUGCGGGUGGAGCUGAAAUCAGUCGAAGAUACCAGCUGGCUGCAACUGUUUAUUAAAAACACAGCACUGUGCAAACACGAAAGUGGACGUAUACGGUGUGACGCCUGCCCGGUGCCGGAAGGUUAAUUGAUGGGGUUAUCCGUAAGGAGAAGCUCUUGAUCGAAGCCCCGGUAAACGGCGGCCGUAACUAUAACGGUCCUAAGGUAGCGAAAUUCCUUGUCGGGUAAGUUCCGACCUGCACGAAUGGCGUAAUGAUGGCCAGGCUGUCUCCACCCGAGACUCAGUGAAAUUGAACUCGCUGUGAAGAUGCAGUGUACCCGCGGCAAGACGGAAAGACCCCGUGAACCUUUACUAUAGCUUGACACUGAACAUUGAGCCUUGAUGUGUAGGAUAGGUGGGAGGCUUUGAAGCGUGGACGCCAGUCUGCGUGGAGCCAACCUUGAAAUACCACCCUUUAAUGUUUGAUGUUCUAACGUUGGCCCCUGACCGGGGUUGCGGACAGUGUCUGGUGGGUAGUUUGACUGGGGCGGUCUCCUCCCAAAGAGUAACGGAGGAGCACGAAGGUUAGCUAAUCCUGGUCGGACAUCAGGAGGUUAGUGCAAUGGCAUAAGCUAGCUUGACUGCGAGCGUGACGGCGCGAGCAGGUGCGAAAGCAGGUCAUAGUGAUCCGGUGGUUCUGAAUGGAAGGGCCAUCGCUCAACGGAUAAAAGGUACUCCGGGGAUAACAGGCUGAUACCGCCCAAGAGUUCAUAUCGACGGCGGUGUUUGGCACCUCGAUGUCGGCUCAUCACAUCCUGGGGCUGAAGUAGGUCCCAAGGGUAUGGCUGUUCGCCAUUUAAAGUGGUACGCGAGCUGGGUUUAGAACGUCGUGAGACAGUUCGGUCCCUAUCUGCCGUGGGCGCUGGAGAAUUGAGGGGGGCUGCUCCUAGUACGAGAGGACCGGAGUGGACGCAUCACUGGUGUUCGGGUUGUCAUGCCAAUGGCAUUGCCCGGUAGCUAAAUGCGGAAGAGAUAAGUGCUGAAAGCAUCUAAGCACGAAACUUGCCCCGAGAUGAGUUCUCCCUGACUCCUUGAGAGUCCUGAAGGAACGUUAAAGACGAUGACGUUGAUAGGUCGGGUGUGUAAGCGUAGCGAUACGUUGAGCUAACCGAUACUAAUGAACCGUGAGGCUUAACCUUACAACGCCGAAG